ensembl:lncRNA
CUUAUAUCUUAUAUCUUAUAUCCUCCUCUCAUAAAUGUUUACAUGCACCUGAGUGUGUAUUUGUCCUCUUUGGUGCAUUCUACCUUGACCUCUGAGACGCCUCAAAGGUCAGUAUGCACAUCAGGUGAAUGCUACUGACUUUAUGCUCUUUCUCUGAGACGCCUCAAUUGUCAGUAUGCACAUCAGGUGAAUGCUACUGAGUUUAUGCUCAUUCUCUGAGACGCCUCAAUUGUCAGUAUGCACAUCAGGUGAAUGCUACUGAGUUUAUGCUCAUUCUCUGAGACGCCUCAAAGGUCAGUAUGCACAUCAGGUGAAUGCUACUGAGUUUAUGCUCAUUCUCUGAGACGCCUCAAUGGUCAGUAUGCACAUCAGGUGAAUGCUACUGAGUUUAUGCUCAUUCUCUGAGACGCCUCAAUGGUCAGUAUGCACAUCCGGCGAGUGCUACUGACUUUAUGCUCAUUCUCCGAAGCGCUCCACUAAAACCCUUAGCUCUGAGUCUGCUGUGACUCAUUGAGAUCACGGCCAGUAUACUCACUUAUCAUGUUGUAAUGAGACGAUUAAUAGCCAUGAUUCAGAUAAACUGCAUAUUCAUCUGGCCAUAUAAGGCCCUGUGCAGAGUGCCUAAGCCCUGACUACACACCUCAUGUCUGCACUGCCAUUGAUGAGUUGGAUGAGAUGGACAGCAGAUCAUA